GAUGAACGCUGGCGGCGUGCCUAACACAUGCAAGUCGAGUGAUCUUCUUCGGAAGAGAGCGGCGGACGGGUGAGUAACGCGUGGGUAACCUGCCCUGUACACACGGAUAACAUACCGAAAGGUAUGCUAAUACGAGAUAAUAUGUUUUUGUCGCAUGGUAGAAGUAUCAAAGCUUUUGCGGUACAGGAUGGACCCGCGUCUGAUUAGCUAGUUGGUAAGGUAACGGCUUACCAAGGCGACGAUCAGUAGCCGACCUGAGAGGGUGAUCGGCCACAUUGGAACUGAGACACGGUCCAAACUCCUACGGGAGGCAGCAGUGGGGAAUAUUGCACAAUGGGCGAAAGCCUGAUGCAGCAACGCCGCGUGAGCGAUGAAGGCCUUCGGGUCGUAAAGCUCUGUCCUCAAGGAAGAUAAUGACGGUACUUGAGGAGGAAGCCCCGGCUAACUACGUGCCAGCCGCCGCGGUAA
rnacentral:rRNA from 1 species